rnacentral:misc_RNA from 1 species
CCAAACUUGGUCAUUUAGAGGAAGUAAAAGUCGUAACAAGGUUUCCGUAGGUGAACCUGCGGAAGGAUCAUUAGCGUAAUUGUUGAACAGUGUCGCGAUGGCGGCGGCAACGCUGCUGCCGCGACACUUGUUACACCACCUUGUGAACCUGAAAUUUGUUUGUGCUGGCGGCUGAUCGAUCGGGCAACUGACUGGUCGGCCGCUGGCACUCUUGACAAACUCUAUUACAAUUAUUAUCGUCAUUCUUAUGAUAUAAUAUAUAACCAAACACACAACUUUUAACAAUGGAUCUCUAGGCUCCUGCAUCGAUGAAGAACGCAGC